rnacentral:rRNA from 1 species
CCUACGGGUGGCAGCAGUGAGGAAUAUUGGUCAAUGGACGAGAGUCUGAACCAGCCAAGUAGCGUGAAGGAUGACUGCCCUAUGGGUUGUAAACUUCUUUUAUAUGGGAAUAAAAUGUUCCACGUGUGGGAUUUUGUAUGUACCAUAUGAAUAAGGAUCGGCUAACUCCGUGCCAGCAGCCGCGGUAAUACGGAGGAUCCGAGCGUUAUCCGGAUUUAUUGGGUUUAAAGGGAGCGUAGGUGGAUUGUUAAGUCAGUUGUGAAAGUUUGCGGCUCAACCGUAAAAUUGCAGUUGAAACUGGCAGUCUUGAGUACAGUAGAGGUGGGCGGAAUGCGUGGUGUAGCGGUGAAAUGCUUAGAUAUCACGAAGAACUCCGAUUGCGAAGGCAGUUCACUGGACUGCAACUGACACUGAGGCUCGAAAGUGUGGGUAUCAAACAGGAUUAGAAACCCUAGUAGUC